rnacentral:lncRNA from 1 species
CAAUGAGUCCCUACCUCGGCUUCUGGGCAAGAUAUUCUUUAAUUUUAGGUAAGCUCUAAUUUGUAAAGCAUUAUUGCAGCUUUUAGAAACUCUGAAUCUCAGAUUUAUUGAGAUAUCGAAAUCCCAGUUUGAGAUUCAUCGAGAUAAGGAGAUCUUAUUCGACCAUGUAAUUUAAAUCUUAUUCCAAUGAGUAUUGUUGAUUGUCGUUUUUAACAAUAUUACUCAACUUAUGGUCACUUCCCUAUGUUUAGUUCAGCGCCAUUCUUUUCUCUUAUUCAUUUUGGUAAAAAGAAAUCUCUCACUAUCAAAUGUAUUAUGUAAUCCUUUUUUGCUCAGCAGCAGUAAAUUUCAUAGAGGUGAUGUAAUAUAUAAUGUCAUUAUUGCUGUAGAAGUUGCAGAAGUGUAUGCUGACUCUACUCGAAUGAUUAUUAUCCCUACAUGCAUAACAUAUUAUAAAGAUAUCUUCCUAUGUGCCCCUUUUGUAAGGAUGCAUGCUGACGGGUGCACAUCGUUUCUAGCUUCUUUUGGUGCAUCUUUUAUCCUGCUUCAGCUGGUUAGCCUGAAUCCUCUUUUCUCCUGUUUCAGUUGAUUAGCAACCAGUAUUGUUCAGGAAUUUUGAGUGGCACACAUCCUGGUCUGGCGAGCCGAUGACCGGACAUCAUUUGUCAAGGUUUGUGCACAUUGAAAACUCUUGCUGCGGAUAGAAAUGAUGUUCAUCGCAAACUGAUGUAGCUUCUUAAUAUGCAUACUAUAUUAGAUUGAUCCUUUUGAAUUAAGUUGAUGUAAAAUUAUUUCUUCAACCCAUGCUCUCUCAGCCUCUUUUCUCUUUUUUCAUUGUAACUUAUAUUAAGAACAGUAAAACUGAGCCUAAACCGAGCCCUCUCAGACAAUCAGCGAUUUUGGCCAUCAGAUGCUGCGUCUCGAUUCUUUCUGAUCGUUGGAUGCACGGUUAACUCCGAGUGGGCCUCAACUUACCUGACUGUCCAAUAAACUGCUACUCCAGGAGAAAAAUCCGAGGUCCGUGGUUGAUUGGGCCAAAGCCCAUGUAACUCUUCUUUGCGAUAGCUUUUUCUAUAGCAGGCUCACAGAGACAUCGCCACCGAGACCCUAACCACGCUCAUGCGGCGGCUAUGGCGGCGAUAAGCUUCUCGGCAGCGCCGCUGCAUCGACCUUCCCUCCUCCACUUCCAAGCAAAAGGAAAUCGGCCGCCGUCGCCGCUAUGCCUGCCUCCGCUGCCCCCCCUAUACCAGCCAGGGCCCAGGGCGAGAUCUUUCUCCUCUUUGCCGCCGCCAUUCUCCUCCUCCGGCGAGAACCCCUCUGCCUCGGGCUCCUCCGAGUCCAUGGUGGGCGACCGCUCCUCCUUGUCCGCCGGGUAGCCCUCCUCCCCGUCGGAUUCCAGCCGCUGGACCCUGGCGCCGCCAGUCCUCACGACUGCUCCCGAGCUCCUGCUGUGCACGAACUCCAUCGUCCAUACAGUAUCCACCAUACCGAUGUCCCUCCGCACACCCUCCUUACUUCGGCAGAUUGCUACUUCAUCCUCUCUGUUUUCUCUUCCCCUAAUUCGAUCCCCAUCAAGUUUAUAAUUUUUUGUUGACGUUGUUUUGUUUACUCCCAGCUGAAUGCAUUUGCUCUGAAUUGAUGGGUUCAAUCUGUGUUCUGCUGGGUGUUGGGUUUCUCUUGCCGCUCCAAUCUGCCAUUUUAGUAUCCAAGUCAUAUUACUACUCCCUCUGUUCCAAAAUAGAUGAGCCAACUUUAUACUUACUUUGUAUCUCAGACAAUCAGCGAUUUUGGCCAUCAGAUGCUGCGUCUCGAUUGUUUCUGAUUGUUGGAUGCACGGUUAACUCCGAGUGGGCCUCAACUUACCUGACUGUCCGAUAAACUGCUACUCCAGAAGAAAAAUCUGAGGUCCGUGGUUGAUUGGGCCAAAGCCCAUGUAACUCUUCUUUGCGAUAGCUUUUUCUCUAGCAGGCUCACAGAGACAUCGCCACCGAGACCCUGACCAUGCUCAUGCGGCGGCUAUGGUGGCGAUAAGCUUCUCGGCAGCGCCGCUGCAUCGACCUUCCCUCCUCUACUUCCAAGCAAAAGGAAAUCGGCCGCCGUCGCCGCUACGCCUGCCUCCGCUGCCCCCCCCUAUACCAGCCAGGGCCCAGGGCGAGAUCUUUCUCCUCUUGGCCGCCGCCAUUCUCCUCCUCCGGCGAGAACCCCUCCGCCUCAGGAUCCUCUGAGUCCAUGGCGGGCGACCGCUCCUCCUCGUCCGUCGGGUAGCCCUCCUCCCCGUCGGAUUCCAGCCGCUGGACCCUGGCGCCGCCAGUCCUCACGACUGCUCCCGAGCUCCCGCUGUGUACGAACUCCAUCGUCCAUACAGUAUCCACCAUACCGAUGUCCCUCCGCACACCCUCCUUACUUCGGCAGAUUGCUACUUCAUCCUCUCUGUUUCCUCUUCCCCUAAUUCGAUCCCCAUCAAGUUUAUAAUUUUUUUUGUUGACGUUGUUUUGUUUACUCCCAGCUGAAUGCAUUUGCUCUGAAUUGAUGGGUUUGAUCUGUGUUCUGCUGGGUGUUGGGUUUCUCUUGCCGCUCCAAUCUGCCAGUUUAGUAUCCAAGUCAUAUUACUACUCCCUCCAUUCCAAAAUAGAUGACCCAACUUUAUACUUACUUUGUAUCAUCUUUAAUUGACAUAAAAAACACUACCGGGUGUUGUUGUUGCUGUAUGCAGAAGGUUUAUUCAAUAAAUAAAUAAGAAAAUGAAAUAGUAAUAUUGUAGAAUGGACCCAUAUGUACUUAGCGAAUUAAACUUCGCAUCGAUGAAAACGAUAAUAGCCCAACUAUACAUAUAUGAUAAUGAUCAUAAAUCAAGAAUAAAAUAAAAAGGAUUGUGUAAACAAGAUGAAGAUAUUAAUUGUAUUUGAUCAGCCUAAUGUUAAAAAAAGUAAUGCAUAUGUGAACCCACUUGUGAAACAAUUCAGGCUUGCUAGAGGUAAAAUCAGGGACCGUCCUGACUAAUGUGUUGCAGUUAGGGUGUUGGCUCCAUAGCUUGACAGCACCGCUACCUCUUAUCAUUUUUCUUUCCAAUAAAAUCGCUUAACAAUAUUAUAUUCUAUGUCCAUAGGAUGUAGCAUUGCAGUAUGUGUUUCAUUUGGUCGUUCAGCUUUGCCAACUUUUGGUGAUUUAUAGCUCCUUUUUUUUGUGCAAGCCUAUUGCUAUCCCUGUAGGUUGUGUGUUUUUCUUUAAAAAAACUAUCUUUAACUAUACCUUGCAGUAUCCUUGAAAUGUUCCUUUGUUGUUUAUAUGCUCAUGUUUUUAUUUAAUACAACCAUGGCGCAAGAAUGGAGAGCCAGAGGAGUUCCCAGUUUGAUGUUAAGUACUAUGAAAGCAAGAUGACCCAGUUGUUGUGAGUCACUUCUCUACCAAUUUUGUUAUAUAAGGUUAUUCUUUCUUAUUCUAUGAUACCAUCUUUUGUAUAUUGAUUGCAAUAUGUAGGACCAAACUGAUACUGAGGAGUUUGUCACUUCAUAUGCUUGAAAUGCAUGAGUAUUGCUGACAUGAAAUUCCAAGAGAACCUUGAAAUGCAUGAGUACAUUAUUUCAAAAUUGUAUCCAUAUGGUCAUCAAUAAUAGUUUUGCCAGUUUGCAUUGUUUGAUACAUAAGAAAUUCAAAGUCGAACCCAAUGAAAUAUUGCUAACUUUCAGUCAAAUCUAUGAAUGUUGAUAAGCUAUGUGAUUUAUUUAUGCUUGGUGACUCAUAGUGAGAUAUACUUCUUCUGACUUUUGAGUUUACCUUCACAUUUAUCAUGCUAAUAGGAAAAUGCUACUGAAAGUGGAAUAAGGCACUCACGUUAAUAUCUUUGUUUCCCCAUUUCCUUGAAUUACUAAGUUUCUCCAAUAUCAUCUUUAGACAACCAUUUCCUUGAUCAUACAUUAUUAAGAGUCCCCAAGUUGCUAUUUCAAAUAUUGUUUCUAUUUUUGGAGCAUUUGAUUCAAGAGUAUUGCUCGCUUGGACAUCGACAAGAGAUUUAGUACAGAUACAACAUGAUGACACUGAGAAUGCCAUCAGGGCAUACCAUUUUAUAACCAAAGAUAUGCUUACUCAUGUUUCACCAAUUCAUUUAAAUGUUGGACAUUUUUUCUUAUUGUUGUUUCAUUCUUCAUGACGCGGUUAAACAAUUGUUCCCUUAUCUGCAUGAACGAUGCUAACAUUCAGGAAAUAUAUGAUACUAAGAAAUGCGAUGUCAUGAUCAACUAUGUAUAAAUUUCUGUUAACAACAUUCAUGAUGGUUGGAGCUAUAUUUUGAGGAAUACACAGCUAAUCUAAUGGGAUUAAUCUUAUGUAACGUGUUUUCAAUUGUGAGAUUGUGCAUUGUACUCAUUGAUGUUGCCAACAAAGUAAUGUCGUAACUGUUGGGCUGCAUGGUGACCCUCCUAAAUCUGGAACAUAUUGGCACCCCAUCAUGCCACCAUAUAUUUGCAUAAAUACAUAUUAUUACCUUGGGGGAAUAGACAGGCUCUGCAACACACGCCAUCAUGGUACAACUUUCGAAAUUUUGCAUCAUAAGGCUACCCAUAAAAUUAAUUGCCAUGUUAUCUUAAUUUAACAAGUAGAGUAUUUGGCUUCAUAUAUUUGUAUCUACCCUAACAUUAUAAUGCCAAAUGGAUGGGCGCAGCAACGCGCGCCAUCAAUGAUCUAGUAUACAUAGGGAGCUGACCUUCAUGCACCACUCAGGCGCCACAUCUGGCCACUAACUUCACGUCUAGGCACUAGCUCACUCCCACUCACACAACUAACUCCAUGCACUUAGUAAUCCCUACAUGCAUGCAUGUCCACUUGCGCAGCUCCACUCAACGGCCACACACCUGGUCAGCAGCCAUGUAGAUAACAAACUAACUAACUUGCCUAUUCUCUUCUAGCUAUUCCAGUCAUCAAGCGCCUUGCCGCUUCACACGGCGUGUUGCAUCACACAACACCGCGGCUUCACGCCGCCAUCGGCAUCUCACCAUGCUCGCCGCAUCGCACGGCAGCCCGGUAUCUCGCCUCCUCCGUGCACUCGAUUUAAGCUUCGACGACUAGAUACUCCUUUACCAUCUAUGUUACAUGCCUAACGAAAGCAAACUGUGUAUGCGGAUACAAAAUAUAAAGAUUAGUGCGAACAAUCUCAAUCGAGGAUCAACGUUAGUGUUAACACAUGAUUAUUGAAUUCUCUGUAUUUAUUACUAUUUAUAUUUUUGAGAAUGCGAUGAUCCUGUAUGUUGGCAUUUUGGCAUUGUAGUAUAGUUUCUAAUAGUGUAUUAUAAUUGAGAAUUGAUUAACUUUUGUAGGAAGCAAAAAGGACUACACUCACAAGGAACCAUGAAGCCAACGAUCCACGUCAACUAGAUGUUUUAGAUUUCAUUUUGUACAACUGAUGUCUCAUACUUGCAUCUUUUGGCUGUCCUUUUGUAAACCUGAUGUAUGGUUUCUUGGUGGUUUUGUUUAGAACAGGUUGAAGUGUAUGUAUGUGCCAAUUAGUUAAUGGAAUAAAAAAUGUUUGGUGCUCCCGAUUUGAGCUUGACGUAUGGUGUUUGGGUGAUUAUGCUUAGAACACAUGAACUAUAUGUAUGUGACAAUCAGUACCAUAUGUUAAUUAAAGUUGUGGUUGGCUAAACAAAAUGUUGAUGAACUGUUG